rnacentral:lncRNA from 1 species
GCGCUUGAUCCAUUUUGGCUUAAAUUGGCCAGCAUUCUACCCUGUGAUGGGAGGUCAAGUGAGCCGAGUCACGUUCGAAAUGACGUGAUGCCGAAUUGGACAGAGUCAUGUUUGAAGUGGCUUAAGGCUGGUGGACGAGUCACAAUCAAGAUCCGUAGACGCUGCAGCUAUACAUUUUAACGAUGCAGGUGUUGUACAGAGUCAUGUUUGAAGUGACAUUAACGGUGCAGGUGUUGAGAGGGAGGGGUGUUGGCUAUUUAUUAUUGGGUUAAAAUAGGUCCAACUUUCCGCUCCGUGAUAAUAGGCCCAAGAGACUGAUAGUUUGAGUUGCGUGAGCCUAAUAAGUUGAGUAGGACUGCGGUUUAUAAGCGAUCUAACGGCAAGAGGCUCAGUGAAAAACCUAACACUUAGAUAUGUUGAGUAAGAUUGAAGCCCACGAACGCUGUGAUUGAACUCUUAAGUGCGAUAGGUGCGUCCUUCUUAUCAACACGUGUUUUUGAAAUAUUUGGUUAGCAUUUACAGUUCACAAUCCAAAUAUAUAAUCUUAGUUUUUCAUCAAUGUUUACUAGAAAAAGUGUGGGAAAAAAAUAAAAAAUAUUUAUAAAAAACUUUUUUUUAAAAAAAUUUCGUCUGUUUAGUUCGAA